UACAGAGGUCCCAGGCGUUGUUCGGAUUCACUGGGCGUAAAGGGUGCGUAGGUGGCCAGGUAAGUUUGGUGUGAAAGCUCGGAGCUUAACUCCGAAAAGUCAUUGAAUACUAUCUGGCUGGAGGGUCGGAGGGGAGACUGGAAUUCUCGGUGUAGCAGUGAAAUGCGUAGAUAUCAGGAGGAACACCGGUGGUGUAGACGGCUUACUGGACCAUAACUGACGCUGAGACACGAAAGCGUGGGUAGCAAACAGG
rnacentral:rRNA from 1 species